rfam:Allokutzneria albata strain DSM 44149 genome assembly, chromosome: I
CUGGCUCCGGUUCACCCCUCGCUCUCGCGCACGGGGACCCGGCGGCC